rnacentral:rRNA from 1 species
CCUACGGGAGGCUGCAGUGAGGAAUAUUGGUCAAUGGGCGCGAGCCUGAACCAGCCAAGUAGCGUGAAGGAUGACUGCCCUACGGGUUGUAAACUUCUGUUAUAAAGGAAUAAAGUGAGGCACGUGUGCCUUUUUGUAUGUACGUUAUGAAUAAGGAUCGGCUAACUCCGUGCCAGCAGCCGCGGUAAUACGGAGGAUCCGAGCGUUAUCCGGAUUUAUUGGGUUUACAGGGAGCGUAGAGGGGUUGUUAAGUCAGUUGUGAAAGUUUGCGGCUCAACCGUAAAAUUGCAAUUGAUACUGGCAGUCUUGAUUACAGUUGCGGUAGGCGGACUUCCUGUUGUAGCG